UUACAUGCGCACCUGGCAGAUAAGCAUGGGUAUAAAAUGUUUGGGCUUAGCUUUGCUUGGGUCCUCAACAUACAAACAGCUCAUUGUUCAACCCUAAAGACGCAACUGGUUUCUCUCUUCUUCACCUCCGCUUCUUUGUCACUGACUUCACACCUCUAGAUGGCCGGGUAGGUGUGGAGCCGGAGACAGCAGGGAUCCGGCUGGAUGAACCAGCUUCAGAGGGAGAUGGACACCUAGACAUUGGCGGCUCAUAAUCAGAAUCACUGCCAAUCCCCCACUCCAACAUCCAAAGCAUCGGCCUCCACCACAAACUGACAGGACGGGUGAGGAUGAACCAAAAUGGGAGCUGUGGUGAAGUGGUGCUUGAGGUCCCGGAACUCCCGGUCAGCAGCUGGGGACCACGUGAACGUAACCUUGGAAGAGACCCAGCACCAAUCCAGAUCCCGGUUUCCAGCAACAGACCACCAGACAAGGCAGAGGGACCAAACACCAGACCUUCACCCGGAGCGAGCAGUCCACAGGGGAGUGCCACAAUUGACCUCCGGUUCUAGGUCUCCCUUGCAGGUCUGCUUGCUCCUCAGGUUGUCCUUCCUCCCAUCUGCAGACCCAGCACCAACCCCUGGUUUGCCAGCCCUGGUAUCAGCAUGAUCUCUAACCCAGGUUAUCCCAGUACCAGUCCCAACACCAGCACCAACCCUGGACACAGCCCAGACCAACCACAACUGCCACCUUCAUCCAGCAACUGCCAGCUCAGACCCCACCCCUCCCCCUACCUCACACAAAGACACAAACACACCAUCAACCACUCCACCAGAACAAACCUGACUGACAAAUGGACAGACUGAUGAUUGUUAUUUGUACAAAUGCAUUUGUUUGUUGUUUAUUAGUAAAAGUUUGUUUUUCUUUUGAUUUGAUUAAUUUAAGUUGGCUUGAUUAUUUAUUGGUUGAAUUGUUUUGUAUUUUUUAAGUUGAAUUACAUUUGAUUAGAAACCUUGCCUAGGAGUGUGAAGGUGAACGGAAAAGCACUGGCGCAAUGAACCACCCUUGAUCUCUCUGCCUGGCCGGUUCACCUGUCGCCACUGGGAUUCUCUGCCUCAAACCCUAUUACAUGGGCUGAGUCACUGGCUUACUGGUGCUCUUCCAUGCCAUCCCUAGGAGGGGUGCGUCACUUGAGUGGGUUGAGUCACUGAGGUGAUCUUCCUGUCCAGGUUUUAUUAAUAAAAAAAUACAAUUUUCCUACCACUUUGACAUUACAUAAUAUUUUGGGUUACAAAAAAUGACAAAUCAAUUUUGAUCCUCCUCUACAAUAAAAACAUGAAG